rnacentral:rRNA from 1 species
GAUGAACGCUGGCGGCGUGCCUAAUACAUGCAAGUCGAGCGAACAGACGAGGAGCUUGCUCCUCUGACGUUAGCGGCGGACGGGUGAGUAACACGUGGAUAACCUACCUAUAAGACUGGGAUAACUUCGGGAAACCGGAGCUAAUACCGGAUAAUAUAUUGAACCGCAUGGUUCAAUAGUGGAAGACGGUUUUGCUGUCACUUAUAGAUGGAUCCGCGCCGCAUUAGCUAGUUGGUAAGGUAACGGCUUACCAAGGCGACGAUGCGUAGCCGACCUGAGAGGGUGAUCGGCCACACUGGAACUGAGACACGGUCCAGACUCCUACGGGAGGCAGCAGUAGGGAAUCUUCCGAAAUGGGCGAAAGCCUGACGGAGCAACGCCGCGUGAGUGAUGAAGGUCUUCGGAUCGUAAAACUCUGUUAUUAGGGAAGAACAAAUGUGUAAGUAACUAUGCACGUCUUGACGGUACCUAAUCAGAAAGCCACGGCUAACUACGUG